rnacentral:miRNA from 1 species
CCAGUGUGGCUCAGCGAG